rnacentral:ncRNA from 2 species
UUCGUCUCACGUGACUGGCGAAAAAACCGGACCGCGCGGAUUCAUAAGAUCGCGGCGGCUUCGGCAAAAGGUGGGCAUCCACCGGGAAGCGUGAGAUUUCAUCCGCCGUGCGCCUGGGCAGCCCUA